GAAAGUUAGGUCAACGGAAAAGUGGAGAAACGUCAAUGAAAGAUAUAAAAAGGAAAGAAUAAUGCAUGUAGCUAGGCUAUAGCAUAAAAAGAGAAAGUUGAAAGAGUUUGUUUUCUUUCCAUUUUACCCCUCAUCCAACCAAACCAAACACACAUCCCCCAAUCAAAGUGCUAUCACGUGCCCUUUCUUUUGCCCGUCCAUCUCCUUUCAAUAUCCAAAAUUUCCAUAAAACAAAACCUUCAUAUCUUUGAUUGAUUGAGAGAGAGAUGGAUCCACCACAGAUACAAGCCAUAGACAGCUCCAGCAAAAGCUAUCCCCCAAUUGAAGAUGAGCAAGACAAAAUAGUCGACCAAUGGUAUUUUAUUCCAACUUCCCCUGCUUUUUCUUUCUACUUAGUACGAUUAUUUCUGUUUUAUAUCUUCUUACUGUUUUAAUAAAACCGAUUUGGUUUACUCUAAUCUUUUUAUUGUCUUCAUUUUGUUUUCUGCAGCUGUUCUUGCUUUUACGACUGUACUGAUAGCCUUUUGGAGUACUUGUGCUGCUAUGAUUUCUGGUGUUCCUAGGGAUACAUAUUAUAACUAUAAGGGAACUUGUUAGAUGAACUAAUUAUGUUCUUUCGCUUUUGGUUAUCAUGAUUUUGCACUGCAUUACUCGAUUUACAUAAAACAAAUUUAGUCCUCUUAUACUGAAAAUUUAUAAUGAGAUUUUCGUUGGCUUCUUAAUUAUUAGGUUAUAGUGGUGUUUUUCCAACUAUAUGCCUAGGGUUCAUAAACUUAUAUGCUAAAAUUUGAACCCUUUUUGAUCGUGCAUUAAUCAAUUUUGAUAAUCAAAGAGGCGUUGGUUCUUUUAGCACAAUUCUGAUAAAAAGUUUGACUGGUGUUUCAGUUGUGAGGCUUAACAGAUAAAGUAAAAGGAAGGUGACAAAUGACAACUAGUCAUAAAUUAUGGUGGCAAAUUAAAUACGACCAGAGAGUUGAAGAAUGGUCAGGAAUUCUCCUAACUUCUGCCUAGUGCCCUAGCCUUAAGUGAUGUUGGUCUGUACAUCCAUUGACAUUCUUUCCUAAAGUGGUUUUCCCACUGUUGGUGGAGCCCUAUAUACAAUUUGCUUGAUCCUGCAAAUCGGUAUUCAACUAGUUUGAAUUCAUGCCGGAUAGAUUCACUAAGAAAAGUUAAACGCACUCUAUCAAGAGAUUUUUGAUUCUUUGACAUGAGGGGUUGCUAUGAUGGUAAGCAAUUUCCACUUCCAACCAAGAGCUUGUGAGUUCGAGUCACCCCAAGAGCUUGNN
rnacentral:lncRNA from 1 species